rnacentral:tRNA from 1 species
GGAUUGUGGCUCAGUGGUCGAGUGUAUGCCUGGCACACAUGAGGCACUGAGUUCAAACCUCAGCACCA